rnacentral:rRNA from 1 species
UACAGAGGUCCCAAGCGUUGUUCGGAUUCACUGGGCGUAAAGGGUGCGUAGGCGGUCGGGUAAGUCUGGUGUGAAAUCUCACAGCUUAACUGUGAAACUGCAUUGGAUACUAUUCGGCUUGAGAGUUGGAGGGGGGACUGGAAUUCUUGGUGUAGCAGUGAAAUGCGUAGAUAUCAAGAGGAACACCAGUGGCGAAGGCGAGUCCCUGGACAACUUCUGACGCUGAGGCACGAAAGCUAGGGGAGCAAACAGG